UGAUUUGUUGCCGAAGCACGCAAAUGUGUGAUCGAGAAAAGCCGUCAGUGUUAAAUGCGGAUCCGUACCAAAACUGACACAGGUGGGCGAGGAGAGUAUCCUAACGGCGCUCGAGAGAACGGUCCUUAAGGAACUAGGCAAUUUGACCCCGUAACUUCGGGAUAAGGGGGCCCUACCUCGCAAGAGGAGGGCGCAGAGAAGCGGCUCUGGGAACUGUUUAUCAAAAACACAGUUCUGUGCUAACUCGUAAAGAGGAUGUAUACAGAAUGACGCCUGCUCGGUGCCGGAAUGUUAAGGAAGUCGGUCAGCCGCAAGGCGAAGCUGGCAACCGAAGCACCGGUAAACGGCGGCCGUAACUAUGACGGUCCUAAGGUAGCGAAAUUCCUUGUCGGGUAAGUUCCGACGCGCAUGAAGGGCGUAAUCACUGGAGCAGUGUCUCAAGGACCGACUCGGUGAAAUUGAAGUCGCGGUGAAGAUACCGUGUACCCGCAGCAAGACGGAAAGACCCCGUGAACCUUUACUGUAGCCUGAUGUUGAGACCGGGUAUCAUUUGCGUAGGAUAGGUGGGAGGCAUUGAUCCGCUGGUUUCGGCCAGCGGGGAGCCAACGUUGAAAUACCACCCUUGUGCUACUCGGUGUCUAACCUCGUUCCGUGAAUCCGGACGAGGGACAGUGUUUGGUGGGCAGUUUGACUGGGGCGGUCUCCUCCCAAAGAGUAACGGAGGAGUGCAAUGGUCGGCUCAGCACGGUUGGCAAUCGUGCGUCGAGUGCAAGGGCAUAAGCCGGCUUAACUGUGAGACCCAAGCGUCGAACAGAUACGAAAGUAGGCCCUAGUGAUCCGGUGAUCCCGUGUGGAAGGGUCAUCGCUCAACUGAUAAAAGGUACUCCGGGGAUAACAGGCUGAUCGCACCCGAGCGUCCAUAGCGGCGGUGCGGUUUGGCACCUCGAUGUCGGCCCAUCACAUCCUGGGGCUGUAGGCGGUCCCAAGGGUUCGGCUGUUCGCCGAUUAAAGUGGUACGCGAGCUGGGAUCAGACCGGCGUGAGCCAGGUCGGUCCCUAUCUGCUGUGGGCGUAUGAGUUUUGAGGAGCCAUCACUCUAGUACGAGAGGAUUGGGUGGUACAUGCCUCUGGUGUACCUGUUGUCGCGCUAGCGGCACGGCAGGGUAGCUAAGCAUGGAAUGGAUAAACGCUGAAUGCAUCUAAGCGUGAAGCCGUCUCCAAGAUAAGAACUCGUUGCUCCCCUUCGGGGUGAGCUGAAGACCGCAGAAAGACCAUCUGCUUAAUAGGCCGGGUGUGCAAGGGCAGAAAUGCCUUCAGCUAACCGGUACUAACGGUCGAUUGCUUGACCG
rnacentral:rRNA from 1 species